CCUACGGGAGGCAGCAGUGGGGAAUAUUGCGCAAUGGGCGAAAGCCUGACGCAGCGACGCAGCGUGAGGGAUGAAGGCCUUCGGGUUGUAAACCUCUUUCAGCGGGGACGAAGCGAAAGUGACGGUACCCGCAGAAGAAGCACCGGCUAACUACGUGCCAGCAGCCGCGGUAAUGCGUAGGGUGCAAGCAUUGUCCGGAUUUAUUGGGCGUAAAGAGCUCGUAGGCGGCUUGUCGCGUCGGGUGUGAAAACUUGGGGCUCAACCCCAAGCCUGCACUCGAUACGGGCUAGCUAGAGUGUUGCAGGGGAGACUGGAAUUCCUGGUGUAGCGGUGAAAUGCGCAGAUAUCAGGAGGAACACCGGUGGCGAAGGCGGGUCUCUGGGCAACUACUGACGCUGAGGAGCGAAAGCGUGGGGAGCGAACAGGAUUAGAUACCCUGGUAGUCCACGCCGUAAACGGUGGGCGCUAGGUGUGGGGAACCUUCCACGUUCUCUGUGCCGCNGCUACGCAUAGCGCCCGCCGUCGGGAGGUACGGCCGGCCGACGGACGUAAACCGUUAAACGGUAAAGUUAGUUACGGCGUGAGACGUCGCCGACGGCGACGACGAGGGAGGAGG
rnacentral:rRNA from 1 species